GACGAACACUGGCGGCGUGCCUAAUACAUGCAAGUCGAGCGAGCUUGCCUAGAUGAUUUUAGUGCUUGCACUAAAUGAAACUAGAUACAAGCGAGCGGCGGACGGGUGAGUAACACGUGGGUAACCUGCCCAAGAGACUGGGAUAACACCUGGAAACAGAUGCUAAUACCGGAUAACAACACUAGACGCAUGUCUAGAGUUUGAAAGAUGGUUCUGCUAUCACUCUUGGAUGGACCUGCGGUGCAUUAGCUAGUUGGUGAGGUAACGGCCCACCAAGGCAAUGAUGGGUAGCCGGCCUGAGAGGGUGAACGGCCACAAGGGGACUGAGACACGGCCCUU
rnacentral:rRNA from 1 species